rnacentral:rRNA from 1 species
UAUGCUUAACACAUGCAAGUCGAACGGCAGCACAGGGAGCUUGCUCCUGGGUGGCGAGUGGCGGACGGGUGAGUAACGCGUGAGGAUCUGCCCUUGGGUGGGGGACAACAGUUGGAAACGACUGCUAAUACCCCAUAUGCCGAGAGGUGAAAGAUUAAUUGCCUGAGGAUGAACUCGCGUCUGAUUAGCUAGUUGGUGGGGUAAGGGCCUACCAAGGCGACGAUCAGUAGCUGGUCUGAGAGGACGAUCAGCCACACUGGAACUGAGACACGGUCCAGACUCCUACGGGAGGCAGCAGUGGGGAAUUUUCCGCAAUGGGCGCAAGCCUGACGGAGCAAUACCGCGUGCGGGAGGAAGGCCCUUGGGUCGUAAACCGCUUUUAACAGGGAAGAAUAACUGACGGUACCUGUUGAAUAAGCCUCGGCUAACUCCGUGCCAGCCGCCGCGGUAAUAC